rnacentral:lncRNA from 1 species
UUCACUCUGGACAGACGGCACAAGCCCCUGGGAAGCACCCAGCCUUCUCUGCACCUGUGUAAUGGUAAACAAAAGGCCUGACUUCUGAGCAGCGAUUUUCAAUUAACAAUGCAUCAGAUUUCACUCUAUCCCAGCACCCCACUGAAACCUCCAGUGCAGAUAUUUUAAUAAAAUAAGACACACAAGAAUAGGGAAAAUGAGAGACAAAAACCAACAAACAAAAACAUGGGAGCAGAAGAAGAAAUUGAUUAUGUGAUAGCUGGCUUUAAAACCUGAGAAGACCAAAUCUUGACCUUGCAGUGAGAAUACAGAGGAUUCUUCAAACAAGCCAGGAAUUUUUGACCUUGCAGUGAGAAUACAGAGGAUUCUUCAAACAAGGCAGGAAUGCCCAUUCGACUUUCCCCAAUGGCUCUGCAUAAGAGGAACCAACAGAGAUCCUUUCCUGAGACCUAAGGAGGCAAAAGCUAGGUGGCAACCAAAGAUUUCAGAGGAGGAAGCAGGUAUGGUGCAGAGGAGAGCUGGCUGUGCUGAAGGGGCCAGACACAGGGGCCACCGGAAUAGAAGCUUCUCAAAGGUGGCAAAGAUGCUUUUUAUGCUUGUUGCCACCACCCAGAAUGAUGUUAACCAUGAGGUACGUGCUCAGUGAAAGGGUGUGGAGUGAAUGAAUGAGUGACAGUACAUUUUUUGGAAGCAGGCACUAUAAUAAUUAUUUCUUCUGUACCUCCUUUUCCUAACUGAUCUCUGCCUCUCCAAGGCUAAGAAUAGUGCUAGUCAUAGACAGUAAUUUACUUAUGCAGGUCCUUGACCUCUCCAUCAUCUCUUAGCCUUAGAUGGAAAAUCAUACAAGAGAAUGAAGCUCCUGGAGAAGAAAUGGUGAGAGAAGACCUCCAGGAUCUUCAGAAAUGUUGAGACACAGGGAUGUGGUGAAAAGAACAUGGGGGAAGAGCAUGGGCAUGGUGGUGGGGGUCAGAGCAGGACUUGGUGAAUACAACUCAUGGAGUGCUUGAUCUGUUGAUCUGUGCCAGGCAGUGGGCUAGAUUGUAAAAAUAAGACCAAUGAUAAAAAUUGAUAUAUACAUAUAUAUAUAUAUAAAAUAUAUACGUAUAUAUAUAGAGAGAGAGACAAUGACUGAUAUAUAAUCAAUAGAUGAUGGAUAGAUAAAUAGACAUAAGUAGAUAGAUAGCUUUAAUUCUUACUGUGCCACUUAAUAUCUAUAGAAACUUGCAUGAGUUAUAAUAACAAUUUAAGCCUCCAUUUCUAGAUAAAAUUAAGUUACUUAAAUGCUUAACUCAUAGGGUUUCUGUGAUAACUAAAUAAUAAAUCUUGCAUAUAUAUGCAUGUGUAUGUCGGUGUGAGUACGAAUAUAUAUACAGAGAGAGAAACAGACAGACAGAGACAAGGACAAAGAGACAGAGAAGAGAGAGCCAGAGAGAUUGGAGGGCACACAGGUGAGCUUGGUACCAAAUAGAUCAUUUUGCCUUCCUUUUCUUCUCAACUCCUGAAAUACUCUGUUUCUGAAAUACAAUGCAGUGAUAACUACUGUUUAUCCUUUUUUAUUUUUUUUGUCAUGUAAGUCCAAGAUUCCUUUAUAGAAAACUCUCAACCUAUGGCAUCAAUUUUGGACCAAGACGUGGCCAUCUGCCUUCCUAAAUGCCCCUAAAUGACAGCUGAGCUCCUCAAUAGCCUUCAUUGCUCCUGAUCUUUCACCCCUGCAGGGAAGCGUCUGGCAGCACACUCAAUGUCCAAUGCCCACUGGGCUGACCCAGAAGCAAAUUUUGUGUCAGCUCCUCCAGCCCACCAUGGAUCAUCCUGGGAGCUGUCUUCAGAUGGUCAACAUUGAAAUGAGAACUAUUUUGACUAAUCUGCUCGGAAUAAAAUGAGAAAAACAGUUCAUGCUGAACUACUCAUAUGUGGAGGUGAUGAACAUAUGUUUCUAAUUUUGAGCUGAGAGAAAAGCAAAAAUAAACAAAUUUAACAAAUCUUAGUUCUUGACAACCACUCACAGAAUAGUUCAGCUAAGAAAUAAACAUAUGGUUCAGGGAAUAAAGAAACUGCCUGGCUCGGUGUGGAAAUGACACUUCUAGACUCAGAGUUUCAUGACUGCAGUGAGCUCAUUUCUUCUGUAAUUAGGGUCAAGACUUGAACUUUUCCUGUGGAUUUUCCCAUCAGAAGACUGGUGCCAUUUAUCCAUUUAGGUGAGCACUAUAAGGACAUUGCUUCAUAUCACGCUUCAAGAGUGAUGAGUUUCACAAGGAGAUUGCAUGUCUCCUCAGAGCUGGCCCGUCUGUAUGUGAUCAGGUGGGAGAAUUUGCUUCAGUAAGUGGAGUGUGAUGGGACAGGGGUGUUAAGUGCCCCCUGAGGAAGUGUUGGCUCUAAGAAGAGAAGAAGUUUGGCCAUGAUGAUGCUUGGCCUCUUUUCCAGCCAUGUCUCAGUCAACCCUAGCUGCUGGGAAAAUUAUCACCGACUGGUAAACAGCAAACAUUUAUUUCUCGCAGUUCCGGAGACUGGAAGUCUGAGAUCAGAGUGCCAGCGUGGUCAGCUUCUGGUGAAGCCCCUCUUGUGCCCCACAUGGCAGUGAGAAAGUGAGCUGGCUCCAGGUCCUCUUUUCGUAAGGGCACUCAUCCACUUAUGAGGCUCCACUCUCAUGACCUAAUUACCUCCCAAAGGCCCCACCUCCAAGUAUGAUCACAUGGGGGACUCGAUUUCAACAUAUGAGUUUUGGGGGACACAAACUUUUAGUCUGCAACAAGACAGGAUUGUCUUACUAUGAUCAGACUGUGGGUGAUUUACUUCGUUUCUUGACACAUCUGUUUUUAUUCUUAAGCCUGUAUACAUAGAUAGUACUUACUGUUUUACAAGAAUCCAGUUUUUCCUUGCAUGGUAAUUUAUUUUUAAAAGCACUGUUUUAAGGUUUCUGUGAUGAGCUAAAGGCAUCUAACUGAAUCCAGAAUAUACUGUCAACUUUAGUGUCUCAGGUCGUGUAUUGUGAAGGAAAAGGUGCCACACGCUUGACACUGGUCUUGGUGCAACCUCAAUCGCAACAUGUGAAUCCCAAGGGAGUUUCUUCCUCUCCAAAAGCCUCUGCUUCCCCAUCUUUUUUUUUUUUUUUUUCUGAGACAGAGUCUCGCUGUGUCACCCAGGCUGGAGUGCAGUGGCGCAAUCUCGUCUUGCUGCAACCUCCAUCUCCUAGGUUCAAGUGAUUCUCCUGCCUCAGCCUCCUGAGUAGAUGGGGUUACAGGUGCGUGCCACCAUGC